rnacentral:rRNA from 1 species
UGGGGAAUUUUGGACGAAUUGGGCGAAAGCCUGAAUCCAGCAAUGCCGCGUGUGUGAAGAAGGCCUUCGGGUUGUAAAGCACUUUUGUCCGGAAAGAAAUCCUUGGGCUCUAAUACAGUCGGGGGAUGACGGUACCGGAAGAAUAAGCACCGGCUAACUACGUGCCAGCAGCCGCGGUAAUACGUAGGGUGCAAGCGUUAAUCGGGAAUUACUGGGCGUAAAGCGUGCGCAGGCGGUUUGCUAAGACCGAUGUGAAAUCCCCGGGCUCAACCUGGGAACUGCAUUGGUGACUGGCAGGCUAGAGUAUGGCAGAGGGGGGUAGAAUUCCACGUGUAGCAGUGAAAUGCGUAGAGAUGUGGAGGAAUACCGAUGGCGAAGGCAGCCCCCU